rnacentral:rRNA from 1 species
CCUACGGGUGGCAGCAGUGAGGAAUAUUGGUCAAUGGGCGGAAGCCUGACCCAGCCAAGUAGCGUGCAGGAUGACGGCCCUACGGGUUGUAAACUGCUUUUAUACGGGAAUAACGCGCCUUACGUGUUGGGCUUUGCAUGUACCGUAUGAACAAGGACCGCCUAAUCCCGUGCCAGCAGCCGCGGUAAUACGGAAGGUCCGGGGGUUACUCGGAUUUAUUGGGUUUAAGGGGAGCGUAGGCCGCAUGUCAAGCGUGCUGUGAAAUGUCCGGGCUCAACCCGGGCCUUGCAGCGCGAACUGGCGUGCUUGAGUCCGCGGAAGGCAGGCGGAAUUCGUCGUGUAGGGGUGAAAUGCUUAGAUAUGACGAAGAACCCCGAUUGCGAAGGCAGCUUGCUGCAGCGGAACUGACGCUGAUGAUCGAAAGCGCGGGUAUCGAACAGGAUUAGAUACCCUUGUAGUC